rnacentral:misc_RNA from 1 species
GAUGAAGAACGUAGCGAAAUGCGAUACGUAAUGUGAAUUGCAGAAUUCAGUGAAUCAUCGAAUCUUUGAACGCACAUUGCGCCCUUUGGUAUUCCAAAGGGCAUGCCUGUUCGAGCGUCAUUUGUACCUUCAAGCUUUGCUUGGUGUUGGGCGUCUUGUCUCCAGUUCGCUGGAGACUCGCCUUAAAGUAAUUGGCAGCCGGCCUACUGGUUUCGGAGCGCAGCACAAGUCGCGCUCUCUUCCAGCCAAGGUCAGCAUCCACAAAGCCUUUUUUCAACUUUUGACCUCGGAUCAGGUAGGGAUACCCGCUGAACUUAAGCAUAUCAAUAAGCGGAGGA